UGAUAGCUGUGAAGCGUGAGGUUGCUGUCGGAGCGGCGACGCCCGUAAAGACAGGUUUUCCGUGGAGCGAAUGUCAAACAAUCUGACGAC
rnacentral:ncRNA from 1 species